CAGGGGUGAAAACUUCAGGUCAGCUUUGGCGUCAUGCUAAACCAUUUGAAUAAUUGUUAGAGUAAUUCUUCCAUUUCACACAUUAAAAAAGCAAUGAAUAUAGAAAAGUCUGGAAGCAGCAGGGUAAUAUUUUUCUUCUUUCCUGUCUCAUCAAUCAUCCCGCGACCCCUUGGGUUUGUCUUGUGACCCUUUGGAGAGGUCUUGACCCCUCAGUGGGGGCUCUACUAGAUCCCACAAGUUCAGCUGCCUCAGACAAGAUGCUGUCAGCGUUAAAUCAACGACAACAUGCCAGACGAGUGAAAGCGCCGUUAACCUCUGGCUUCGACACUGCUAUAAAGGUCGAUGAGAUCUUCAUCACUGCGCUCCUCUCCUGCUCGUCGGCUCCUCAGCCACUCCUCUCUAGCUUUCUUCACUUCCUGUCCG